rnacentral:rRNA from 1 species
AUUGAACGCUGGCGGCAUGCUUUACACAUGCAAGUCGAACGGCAGCACAAACUUCGGUUUGGUGGCGAGUGGCGAACGGGUGAGUAAUGCAUCGGAACGUGCCCUAAAGUGGGGGAUAACGCAUCGAAAGAUGCGCUAAUACCGCAUAAUCUCUGAGGAGAAAAGUGGGGGAUCGAAAGACCUCAUGCUUUUGGAGCGGCCGAUGUCUGAUUAGCUAGUUGGUGGGGUAAUGGCCUACCAAGGCGACGAUCAGUAGUUGGUCUGAGAGGAUGGCCAGCCACACUGGGACUGAGACACGGCCCAGACUCCUACGGGAGGCAGCAGUGGGGAAUUUUGGACAAUGGGCGAAAGCCUGAUCCAGCAAUGCCGCGUGAGUGAAGAAGGCCUCGGUGUAAGACUCUUCUAGUUGUAGAAGAAAAAUUAAGUAGACGUAAUACUUAGUCAAUU